rnacentral:rRNA from 1 species
AGCGAACGCUGGCGGCAGGCCUAACACAUGCAAGUCGAACGGAUCCUUCGGGAUUAGUGGCGGCCGGAUGAGUAACACGUGGGAACGUGCCCUUCGGUUCGGAACCACUCAGGGAAACUUGAGCUAAUACCGGAUGUGCCCUUCGGGGGAAAGAUUUAUCGCCAUUGGAGCGGCCCGCGUCUGAUUAGCUAGUUGGUGAGGUAACGGCCCACCAAGGCGACGAUCAGUAGCUGGUCUGAGAGGAUGAUCAGCCACACUGGGACUGAGACACGGCCCAGACUCCUACGGGAGGCAGCAGUGGGGAAUCUUGCGCAAUGGACGAAAGCCUGACGCAGCCAUGCCGCGUGAAUGAUGAAGGUCUUAGGAUUGUAAAAUUCUUUCAGCGGGGACGAUAAUGACGGUACCCGCAGAAGAAGCUCCGGCUAACUUCGUG